rnacentral:rRNA from 1 species
CAAUAGCGUAUAUUAAAGUUGUUGCGGUUAAAAAGCUCGUAGUUGGAUUUCUGCUGAGAACGACCGGUCCGCCCUUUGGGUGUGUAUCUGGCUCUUUCUUGGCAUCUUCUUGGUGAACGUUGCUGCACUUGACUGUGUGGAGCGCUACCCAGGACUUUUACUUUGAGGAAAUUAGAGUGUUUCAAGCAGGCAUACGCCUUGAAUACAUUAGCAUGGAAUAAUAAGAUAGGACCUCGGUUCUAUUUUGUUGGUUUCUAGAGCUGAGGUAAUGAUUAAUAGGGAUAGUUGGGGGCAUUCGUAUUUAACUGUCAGAGGUGAAAUUCUUGGAUUUUUUAAAGACGGACUACUGCGAANGNAUUUGCNAAGGAUGUUUNCAUUG